rnacentral:rRNA from 1 species
GACGAACGCUGGCGGCGUGCUUAACACAUGCAAGUCGAACGGUGAAGGAGAGCUUGCUCUCCGGAUCAGUGGCGAACGGGUGAGUAACACGUGGGCAACCUGCCCCAGACUUCGGGAUAACGCUUCGAAAGAGGUGCUAAUACCGGAUACGAACUCCUUGGGCAUCCUUGGAGUUGGAAAGUUUUUCGGUCUGGGAUGGGCCCGCGGCCUAUCAGCUUGUUGGUGAGGUAACGGCUCACCAAGGCGACGACGGGUAGCCGGCCUGAGAGGGCGACCGGCCACACUGGGACUGAGACACGGCCCAGACUCCUACGGGAGGCAGCAGUGGGGAAUAUUGCGCAAUGGGCGAAAGCCUGACGCAGCAACGCCGCGUGAGGGACGACGGCCUUCGGGUUGUAAACCUCUUUCAGCAGGGAAGAAGCGAAAGUGACGGUACCUGCAGAAGAAGCACCGGCCAACUACGUGCCAGCCGCCGCAGUAAGAC